GGCCUGUUGAUAAUGAUUUUAGGUCUGACCUGCCCAGUGAAAGUUAAAUGGCCGCGGUAUAUUGACCGUGCAAAGGUAGCAUAAUCACUAGUUUUUUAAUUGAAAGCUUGUAUGAAGGGUUUGAUGAGGAAAUAACUGUCUCUGUGAAGAUUUAUUAGAAUUUUAUUUUUAAGUGAAAAAGCUUAAAUGUGUAUAGAAGACGAGAAGACCCUAUAGAGUUUUAUAUUUAAUUAGUUUAAAGUUUUUUAGUAUAGAAAAAUUUAGAGUUAAUAAAAUAUUUUGUUGGGGUGAUAGGAAAAUUUAAUUAACUUUUCUUUAUUAGAACAUUUAUUUGUGAUUUUAUGAUCCUAAAGAUUUAGAUUAUAAGAUUAAAUUACCUUAGGGAUAACAGCGUAAUCUUUUUUAGAGUUCUUAUCGAAAAAAGGGAUUGCGACCUCGAUGUUGGAUUAAAAUUUAUUGUUGGUGUAGAAGCUAACAAAUUAGGUCUGUUCGACCUUUAAAAUUUUACAUGAUCUGAGUUUAAACCGGUGUGAG
rnacentral:rRNA from 1 species